GCGAAGGUGGCGGAACUGGUAGACGCACUAGCUUGAGGUGCUAGCGGGUAACACCUUGGGGGUUCGAGUCCCCCCCUUCGCA
rnacentral:tRNA from 2 species